AAAGUAUAAUCUGCCCUAUUCAUAAAAAAGGAGACAAACUGUUGUGUCAGAAUUAUAGAGGCAUCUCUUUACUUUGUUCGGGAUACAAAAUAUUCACAAACAUCCUUAAUCGAAGACUUCAACCUCUCACGGAAAAAAUCAUCGGGGAAUAUCAAGCAGGGUUUAGGCAAAAUAGAUCUACCAUUGACCAACUAUUUACAGUUAAACAAAUACUAGCCAAAACAUGGGAAUAUGACAUGGACGUUUACAAUGGGUGCGUUCGGACGACCAUAGCGGCUGACUGUCAGCAGAAAUCGGCUGAGUGGUUGUAUCCAGCCGUGAUAGGGAAAGCUUAGUAAAUCUCUCAGCGGCUGACUUCCAGCGGUGACGUCUGACAACUAUUGCUAGCUCAGCUGUCCAGCCGCUGUGGUCGUCCGAACGCACCCGAUCUCUUUGUAGAUUUUAAAGAAGCCUAUGAUUCAAUAGAUAGAACAAUUCUACCUAAUAUAUUGGAAGAAUUUAGCAUACCAUCAAAAUUAAUACGACUAGUGCAAAUGACAGAAACAGAAGCACAGUGGUGGGAUCACGAUCAGUAGAAUGGUAGAAUGGUGACGUCACAAAAAUAAUUCUACAAUCGACAAUUUUGGUAUCACGUUAACACGCUUGGGAAAGUAGAAUCGGUGCUCGGCAAUGUUCGGAUAUUCUACUAGCCAUGUUAAAAAUAUCGCUUCUUCUUCUUAAAAAUAUUGCUUUUUGACGUGUGGUUGUCUUUAUUUUGUGGUGGUUGUAUUCAAAAAGCUAACCUAAAGAAAGAUUAUAAUUUGUGAUUAUUUUCAAUUUGUAUAUUUUUGUCUUGGGUUGUUUGGAACUAUUUUAUUAGAAAUCACUAAAUUUUUAAAUUUUACCUGUGACUAGAGAACAUUGUUAUAUUAAGGUAUUUUUAUGUGUGUGAUCCAGACUUAAAAAUUUUAAACAUCGAUGCUAGAUGGGGAGGUGCAACACAUGAUGUGGAGAAACUCAAAUGUAAAACUUUUUUGCAGCAGAUCGUUUAAAAUAGAGAUCAAAGCAUUUUCCAUUUCUAUUCUGGCAAAGAUUACUUUCACUUCUUAGUUAUCUUUGCUGGACGGUGAAGCUUUAUAUCUUAUUAUGAAGUAUUUUGAACAUAAAACUUUUGUUUUAUGGAUGCAUUGAUCAAAUAUCUUAAAGAAAUGUUUAUUUAAAGUUUCAUAAUAAUUUUUAUAAGUAGUUUAAUAUAAUUACUUAUUUUUGCACUAGAAAUAAUAAUUGUAAAGCUUCAUUGACUAAUGGCCAGUUUCACCAAAGAUGAAUAGUAGUUUAUUCGAUGAAUAAAAUUAUUCAACUGAUAAAACUGACACAACUAUGUUUCUCUAACGUCAAAUAGUACUUAUUUUAUUUAUUCAUCAAAUAAAUAUUUACUCUUCAAAUGAAUUGACGAGUUAAUCUCACUUUAAAUAUCUAUAUAAAGAAAAUUUGUCAAUUUAAUUUUAAAUUAUCAAACUAUUCACUGAUUUAUUUGUUGUUGGUGAAACUGGCCAUAGAGAGUAAAAUUGCAUUAUUUUUCAAUUUACAUAAAUUUGUGGUUUAUUUGUGAUUUAUUCUUUGUUCUUAUUUUAGUCUUGGUAUGAAACAAUGUUAAGACAAUACUGUGUGCUUUUUCAGUCCUAUGAAAGAAAAUGUUUUGGAUGUAAUAGAGAAGUACUACAACUUUGUUAUGAAGAUUUGUCUUUAUGUUAUUUUUAUAAUGUUCAUGGAUUAUAUUUGUUUUUAUGUUUUCUUCAGUUUAAAUAAAGUUUAUGUUUUACCCA